rnacentral:tmRNA from 1 species
GGGGCUGACCGGUUUUGACAGCAUAGUUCUUUGUAAGUGUAAGCAUGUAGUGCGUUGCGUAGUCAGCACUUAAAUCUUAAUACGAAAAUUUUAAAUGGCAAUACUUCGUAUGCCAUGGCUGCCUAAUUAUUAAUUAGCAACCAUUAGGGCCGCUGAACAGGCUUGCCUGUUGCCAAGUUCUUCCGCCGACAUUAAAAGAAAACGGGUUGCUGCAACCAAAGGCUGUGAUAGUUGCUUAAGACCAUUCAGCUAAGGAAAAAUUCGGUUUGUUUUGCUCCAGAUUUUUCCCGACAAAUAAUGCAAAAAUAAACAUGUAGAAAGCUUAUAGCGAAUAUGUUUGGACCAGGGUUCGACUCCCUGCAGCUCCACCA